AAUGCCUAGGAAUCUGCCCGAUAGUGGGGGACAACGUUUCGAAAGGAACGCUAAUACCGCAUACGUCCUACGGGAGAAAGUGGGGGAUCUUCGGACCUCACGCUAUCGGAUGAGCCUAGGUCGGAUUAGCUAGUUGGUGGGGUAAAGGCUCACCAAGGCGACGAUCCGUAACUGGUCUGAGUGGAUGAUCAGUCACACUGGAACUGAGACACGGUCCAGACUCCUACGGGAGGCAGCAGUGGGGAAUAUUGGACAAUGGGCGAAAGCCUGAUCCAGCCGUGCCGCGUGUGUGAAGAAGGUCUUCGGAUUGUAAAGCACUUUAAGUUGGGAGGAAGGGCAUUAACCUAAUACGUUAGUGUUUUGACGUUACCGACAGAAUAAGCACCGGCUAACUUCGUGCCAGCAGCCGCGGUAAUACGAAGGGUGCAAGCGUUAAUCGGAAUUACUGGGCGUAAAGCGCGCGUAGGUGGUUCAGCAAGUUGGAUGUGAAAGCCCCGGGCUCAACCUGGGAACUGCAUCCAAAACUACUGGGCUAGAGUACGGUAGAGGGUGGUGGAAUUUCCUGUGUAGCGGUGAAAUGCGUAGAUAUAGGAAGG
rnacentral:rRNA from 1 species